UACGUAGGUGGCAAGCGUUGUCCGGAUUUACUGGGCGUAAAGAGCGCGCAGGCGGUCGUUCAAGUCGCGUGUGAAAGCCCCCGGCUCAACUGGGGAGGGUCACGCGAUACUGAUCGACUCGAAGGCAGGAGAGGGUAGUGGAAUUCCCGGUGUAGUGGUGAAAUGCGUAGAUAUCGGGAGGAAUACCCGUGCGAAGGCGGUCCAGCUGGCAUGCAACUGACGCUGAGCGACGAAGCGUGGGUAGCA
rnacentral:rRNA from 1 species